rnacentral:rRNA from 1 species
AUCAUUAAGUGAAUACAUAGCUUAAUGAGGGGAACUCAGGGAACUGAAACAUCUAAGUACCUGAAGGAAGAGAAAGAAAUUCGAUUCCGUAAGUAGCGGCGAGCGAACGCGGAUUAGCCCAAACCAAUAAAGUUUUCUUUAUUGGGGUUGCGGACAUAUCAUAACGAAGAGGUAUCGUAAUUGAAGAGGUUUGGAAAGACCCACCACAGAAGGUAAUAGUCCUGUAUGUUAAACGAGAAGACUUUAGAUAUGAUCCAGAGUACCACGGGACACGUGAAACCCUGUGGGAAGCAGGAGGGACCACCCUCCAAGGCUAAAUACUACCUAGUGACCGAUAGCGUAUAGUACCGUGAGGGAAAGGUGAAAAGAACCCCGGGAGGGGAGUGAAAUAGAACCUGAAACCCUGCACUUACAAGCUGUGGAAGCACAUUUCUUGUGUGACCGCGUACUUUUUGUAGAACGGGCCAACGAGUUACGUUAAGUAGCAAGGUUAAGCACUUAAGGUGCGGAGCCGUAGCGAAAGCGAGUUUUAACUGAGCGUUCAGUUACUUGACGUAGACCCGAAACCGGGCGACCUACCCAUGAGCAGGAUGAAGCGAAAGUAAAAUUUCGUGGAGGUCCGAACCCACGAGCGUUGAAAAGCUCGGGGAUGACUUGUGGGUAGCGGUGAAAUUCCAAUCGAGCCCGGAGAUAGCUGGUUCUCCCCGAAAUAGCUUUAGGGCUAGCCUCAAGGUGAGAGAUACGGAGGUAGAGCACUGAAUGUCCUAGGGGGUAUUGCACCUACCGAAGACUAUCAAACUCCGAAUGCCGUCAUCUUAUACUUGGGAGUCAGACUGUGGGUGAUAAGAUUCAUAGUCGAAAGGGCAACAGCCCAGAUCGUCAGCUAAGGUCCCUAAAUGUAAGUUAAGUGGUAAAGGAUGUGGGAUUGCACAGACAACCAGGAUGUUGGCUUAGAAGCAGCCACUCAUUCAAAGAGUGCGUAAUAGCUCACUGGUCGAGUGAUCCUGCGCCGAAGAUUUCCGGGGCUAAAACUUACUACCGAAGCUACGGCAUCAGUAAUGAUGGGUAGGGGAGCUUCCCAUACGGGUUGAAGCAUGACCGUAAGGACAUGUGGACAGUAUGGGAGUGAGAAUGUUGGCAUGAGUAGCGAGAUGUGGGUGGGAAUCCCACAGGCCGUAAACCCAAGGUUUCCAGGGGAAGGUUCGUCCGCGCGGGGUUAGUCUGGACCUAAGCUGAGGCCGAAAGGCUUAGGUGAGGGACAACAGGUUGAUAUGCCUGUACUACCGAUAACCGUUUGAGAGAAGGGAUGACACAGUAGGAUAAGCUAAGCACACUGUUGGUUAUGUGUGCCCAAGCAUUGAGGCAGUCAAAGUAGGCAAAUCCGCUUUGAUAAUGCUGGGAUGUGAUGGGGAGCGAAAUUUAGUAGCGAAGUAGCUGAUUUCACACUGUCAAGAAAAGUCUCUAUCGAGGUUAAAGGUACCCGUACCGCAAACCGACACAGGUGGGUGAGGAGAGUAUCCUAAGGCCAGCGAGAGAACUGUUGUUAAGGAACUCGGCAAAAUGACCCCGUAACUUAGGGAUAAGGGGUGCCACCAUCAGGUGGCCGCAGAGAAUAGGCCCAAGCGACUGUUUACCAAAAACAUAGGUUUCUGCUAAGUCGCAAGACGAUGUAUAGGAGCUGACGCCUGCCCGGUGCUGGAAGGUUAAGGGGAUCUGUUAGAGCAAUCGAAGCAGUGAACUUAAGCCCCAGUAAACGGCGGCCGUAACUAUAACGGUCCUAAGGUAGCGAAAUUCCUUGUCGGGUAAGUUCCGACCCGCACGAAAGGCGUAACGAUUUGGGCACUGUCUCAACAACAGACUCGGUGAAAUUGUAAUUCCGGUGAAGAUGCCGGAUACCUGCGACAGGACGGAAAGACCCCAUGGAGCUUUACUGUAGCUUGACAUUGGGUCUUGGUACUACAUGUACAGGAUAGGUGGGAGGCUUUGAAACCAGGACGCCAGUUUUGGCGGAGCCAUCCUUGGGAUACCACCCUUGUAGUACUGGGACUCUAACCAUAGGCCAUGAAUCUGGUCUUGGGACACUGUCAGGUGGGCAGUUUGACUGGGGCGGUCGCCUCCCAAAAGGUAACGGAGGCGCUCAAAGGUUCUCUCAGUACGGUCGGAAAUCGUACGUAGAGUGUAAAGGCAAAAGAGAGCUUGAUUGCAAGACAUACAGGUCGAGCAAGGAUGAAAAUCGGACUUAGUGAUCCGGUGGUUCUGCGUGGAAGGGCCAUCGCUCAACGGAUAAAAGCUACCCUGGGGAUAACAGGCUUAUCUCCCCCAAGAGUCCACAUCGACGGGGAGGUUUGGCACCUCGAUGUCGGCUCAUCACAUCCUGGGGCUGUAGUAGGUCCCAAGGGUUGGGCUGUUCGCCCAUUAAAGUGGUACGCGAGCUGGGUUCAGAACGUCGUGAGACAGUUCGGUCCCUAUCCGUCGCAGGCGUAGGAAAUUUGAGAAGACCUGUCCUUAGUACGAGAGGACCGGGAUGGACGUACCUCUGGUGUACCAGUUGUCCUGCCAAGGGCAUGGCUGGGUAGCUAUGUACGGAAUGGAUAAGCGCUGAAAGCAUCUAAGCGCGAAGCCAACUUCAAGAUAAGAUUUCCCACCGCAAGGGUAAGACCCCAGAAAGACUAUCUGGUUGAUAGGUCGAAGGUGUAAGUGCAGCAAUGUAUUUAGCUUAUCGAUACUAAUAGGU